AGAAUCAACGCUGGCGGCGUGCCUAACACAUGCAAGUCGAACGAGAAAGUGGAGCAAUCCAUGAGUAAAGUGGCGACCGGGUGAGUAACACGUGACUAACCUACCUUCGAGUGGGGGAUAACCUCGGGAAAACCGAGGCUAAUACCGCAUAACAUCGCAAGAUCAAAGCAGCAAUGCGCUGGAAGAGGGGGUCGCGGCUGAUUAGCUAGUUGGCGGGGUAACGGCCCACCAAGGCGAAGAUCGGUA
rnacentral:rRNA from 1 species